GGCGACACAGCGACUGGGUUCUGCUCUUGAGCAGUAAACCCAAGUCCUUCUCUGCAGGCGGAAGUGGACGCCAGCCGCCUACUCUUCUUAGCAUCUUGUGAAAACUUUUCACAAGAUGGCAGUCAAUUGGUGCAGCUUCCAGGCAGGCUUAAGCAUCAGCAUAACUCAUCUUAGAAAUUGGCUACUAGGCUGCUGACACCAAGGCAAGAGCUGAGACCUUGGGGGCUACACACCUCCUUACAUCACAUACAUGAACCAAAUUAUGAAGAUGGGCAGCACCCGCAGAAAUGAAUUGAGCAUGCUGACGGAUAAACGAAGCUGACAAGGUGACAGUAACCCUGGCUCUCCAAUGUGACAAUUCCCAACAGGUAGGCACUAAACACAGAUGAGGGUUUCGAACUUCAGCUGCUGAGUCCAGCAUCAAAUAGAAACCGCAGCAAGAUGUCCAAAAAGCAAGAGGUAAGUUCUCCAGGGUAAGAUGCUAAAUCAGAGCAACAAGUUAUGAGGGCAAAACUAAUAUUACACAAACGUUAACCAACUAAUAAUAAUAAUAAUAAUAGAAACAGGAGGCCAUUUUCAUUAACACUAUGGCAUUGUGGGGAAGAGAGCAUGUUUAGUUUGGUCUUAAGAAGGCUGACGUAAGUGCCCACAUUAGUUAUCUUUUUUUCUGUGAGUGGAGUAUCCCCUGUAAGUUUAUGAGUAUCUUACCUCUCCCUAUACAUUGUGGUAUAGAUUGAAUGUUGUUUAUUUCCUCAGUCCUAGCUGGACAGGCCAUCUUUUUUUCCUCCUUUAAGGAAGUGGGGGUUUGGGGGGAGAAAAUUGGAAAGUGCAGGCAUAGAGAUAUCUUUGACUUCCAUGGGCAUCUGAGAAGGUGCAGGCAGUGUGUGGAUUGCGGUGGCGGGGGGGAGCAAGGGAAGGAUCUAUCUCCUUGGAGAACUGGAGUUAAAGGGCAGGUGGAAAGGAUUUUGUUUGUUAAUUGCAGUGUUUUUUUUCUUAAAAAAUGUUUAGGGAUACUCUCAUUUUGACCCCAAAAAAUCACCAUUUUGUACUUGAGAUCGGGAAAAAUAAAUACAGUAAAUGGACAAAAGUACAAAGAUUCACAAGACAUUUAGCUGUGCGUACCCCUGCGUCCCUCCCAGAAAAAAAGCACUGGUUAAUUGUAAUAUAAAAUGGUAGGGCAGCUCGGUCAGUAGAGAGCAUGAGGCUCUUAGAACUACAGAGUUGUAAGGGGUCCCCGAGGGCCAUCUAGUCCAACCCCCUGCAAAGCAGGAAUCUUAUGCCCAACAUAUUUCCAAAUUUAUGCUGUUGUAUACAGAAUUGUCCUCUGAGAAUUAACCCCCUCUGAGAAACACAGUCAUUCUAUAGCAAGGGAAAUCUGCACAUGAAAAUGACUGACUUGGAUGUAGACAAGGAAGUAGUCUGACCUCCCUGCAAUGCGGAAAUCCAAACCAAAGCAUCCAUGAGAAAUGGCCACCCAAUCUCCGUUUGAAAGCCUCCAAUGGAGAAGAACCUUAAUCUCGGGGUCCUGGGUUCAAGCUCAAUGUUGGGCAAAAAGAUCCCUGCAUUGCAGGGGUUUUGACUAUGUCCAUUCCAGCUCUACAAUUCCAUGAUUUGU